rnacentral:rRNA from 1 species
GAUGAACGCUGGCGGCGUGCCUAAUACAUGCAAGUCGAGCGAACGGACGAGAAGCUUGCUUCUCUGAUGUUAGCGGCGGACGGGUGAGUAACACGUGGAUAACCUACCUAUAAGACUGGGAUAACUUCGGGAAACCGGAGCUAAUACCGGAUAAUAUUUUGAACCGCAUGGUUCAAAAGUGAAAGACGGUCUUGCUGUCACUUAUAGAUGGAUCCGCGCUGCAUUAGCUAGUUGGUAAGGUAACGGCUUACCACGGCAACGAUGAAUAGCCGAACUGAGUGGACGAUAGGCCACACUAGAACUGUACCACGGUCAAGACUCCUGCGAAACGCAGCAGUAGCGAAUCUUGCGAACUAGACGAAAGCCUCACGGAGCACCACCGCGUGAGCGAUAAGGAUCUUCGGAUCCUAAAACUCCGUUAUUAGGGAAGACAAUAUGUGUAAGUGACUGAGCACAUCUUGACGGUACCUAAUCAGAAAGCCGCGGCUAACUACGUG